GCGGCAGGCCUAACACAUGCAAGUCGAGGGGUAACAUUGGUGCUUGCACCAGAUGACGACCGGCGCACGGGUGCGUAACGCGUAUACAAUCUACCUUUUGCUAAGGGGUAGCCCAGAGAAAUUUGGAUUAAUACCUUAUAGUAUGUAGACUUCUCAUGAAGAUUACAUUAAAGAUUACGGCAAAAGAUGAGUAUGCGUCCUAUUAGUUUGUUGGUGUGGUAACGGCACACCAAGACUACGAUAGGUAGGGGCCCUGAGAGGGGGAUCCCCCACACUGGUACUGAGACACGGACCAGACUCCUACGGGAGGCGGCAGUGAGGAAUAUUGGACAAUGGAGGCAACUCUGAUCCAGCCAUGCCGCGUGCAGGAAGACUGCCCUAUGGGUUGUAAACUGCUUUUAUACAGGAAGAAACACUCCCUCGUGAGGGAGCUUGACGGUACUGUAAGAAUAAGGAUCGGCUAACUCCGUGCCAGCAGCCGCGGUAAUACGGAGGAUCCAAGCGUUAUCCGGAAUCAUUGGGUUUAAAGGGUCCGUAGGUGGAUAAUUAAGUCAGAGGUGAAAGUUUGCAGCUCAACUGUAAAAUUGCCUUUGAUACUGGUUAUCUUGAGUUAUUGUGAAGUAGUUAGAAUAUGUAGUGUAGCGGUGAAAUGCAUAGAUAUUACAUAGAAUACCAAUUGCGAAGGCAGAUUACUAACAAUAUACUGACACUGAUGGACGAAAGCGUGGGUAGCGAACAGGAUUAGAUACCCUGGUAGUCCACGCCGUAAACGAUGGAUACUAGCUGUUGGGCUUCGGCUCAGUGGCUAAGCGAAAGUGAUAAGUAUCCCACCUGGGGAGUACGUUCGCAAGAAUGAAACUCAAAGGAAUUGACGGGGGCCCGCA
rnacentral:rRNA from 1 species